GGUGAUCCAGAACCUAGAUCAGAUAGCCCAGCGAACCUUGAGUAAAACCAAAUACUAUUGUUGUAUUAAAAAAAAAAAAGUAGCAAUAUAAUGACUCUUCCUGACAUUCUGCAGUACUCAUUAAUCAGUGCCUUGCUCAGCCAUCAUCACAGAAGCUUCCCCCUGCCACAGAUGGGAACAAAUGCAGAGAGGCCCACAGCCAGACACUGUACAGAGAGAGAAUGAGAGUCUUGGGAACACUCAACCUUAAGUAGGGUGUCUUUAUCAAACCCCUCCCCUCGGGGCUCAGGAACACUGUGAAAGAGGAAACAGAAAAACUAUAACAGCCAGAGAGGACAGAGGGCACCAAGAAAAACACCCACCUCGCGGGGGCUGGAGAGAUGGCUCAGAGGUCAAGAGCACUGGCUGCUCUUCUGGAGGUCCCUGGUUCAGUUUCCAGAAUCCACAUGGCAGUUCACAAAUGUCUGUAACUGUGGUGCCAGGUGAUCUGACACCCUCAUACAGACAUACAUGCAAAACAAAAACAAAAACAAAAAGCAAAAAAAAAAUCAAACAAACCCCAAAUAAUCAACAACAACAACAACAACAAAACCAAUCAAGCAAGCAAGCAAGCAAACAAACAAAAACAACACCAAACAAAACCAGCUAACCAAGGAAUCAUUUAAAAAAAAAAAUGCCCACUGAACCAAUAUGAUCAAUGUACAUAGGAACUCACAGAGACAGAGGCAAGGAUGCACAGGCCUGCACAGGUCUGCACUAGUUGGGGUUCUAGGGCUGAAAGGAAAAGUGGACACAAGCCCUCAUCUCUGACACAGAAGCAAUCUUCAAUUCAUAACCACUUACAAAUGGAAAUUAAUCUUACUCCAAGAGAGUUUCUCCAUCUCAUGGAAUGGGCUGCCUGACGCCACAGUUAUUUUCCUUCAUGGACUGGGAGACACUGGGCAAGGAUGGGCAGGAGCUGUUGGUUGCAGGCGGCAGAACAUCCCACAUCAGGCACACCUGUCCACAUGACACCCGAUAUGCCUAUUACAGUCAACAUGAAUAUGACCAGGCCUUCUUGGUUUGAUAUUGGACUUUCUGCAGAUUUCCAGGAGGACGAAUCUGGAAUUAAACAGGUGGCAGGGAAUGUAAGAGCUUUGUGAUAGAUCGAGAGGUGAAGGAUGGCAUCGCUUCUAACAGCAUUAUUUGGGGAGGAUUUUCUCAGGGAGGCAAUUGAUUUUUUUUUUUUUUUUUAAAUCAUGCUCUUAAGACACAGCAAAAACUGCAGGACACCAAUGGGCUCAGUUGCUGGCUUCCACUUCCGGCUUCUUCUCCACAGGGUCCCAUCAAUACCACUAACAGAGAUAUUUUUUGUUCUCCAGUGCCAUGGAGAUUGUGACUCUUUAGUUCCCCUAACAUCGGUUCUCUUCCUGCUGAAAAACUAACAGCAUUGGUUAAUCCAGCCAAUGUAACCUUCAAAGCUUUGGUGCACAGCUGUUGUCUGCAGGAAAUGAUGGAUGGCAGGCAAUUCAUUGAUAAACUUCUACCUCCAGUGAUUGACAUCACUAAGAGCCUUGUGUAGACGCUGGCUGGCAUCACUGUAGUAGAGUACCUGAUGGGAAAACUUCUAAUGUUGCAGUGUUAAAAUGAUUUACAAAUACAUACCAGUGAGACAGACUAAAUGAUGUCUUCCUCAUGGGAAAUGUAUGAUCCUUUACAUUUCUACAACAUAUUUCAGUAUUAUACAAUCCAGAAUAUCUAAGUGUUAAAGAAGGAAAAGUAGGCAGCUAGCUUUUUUUUUUUCUUAAAUUAAUCCAUCAGUCUUAAUACAUCAUUUGAAAAGUGACUAGUAAGCUCACUGAAAAAUAUUUCAGGGCUAAACAAGCCGUUAGGAUGUAAAUGAUUUCUUAAUUUUGUGAAUUAGACUAUAAUUUUACUCCACAAUUUUAUGGUCUCUAUGCAGUGUCUAUAUUUUCAUAUGUGUAUUCACAUAUACAUGAUGAAUUAGAUGGUAUUAUAAUAUCCUUAAUACUAGGGAUAAUGCUUUUAGAGCAUCAAAGAAAAAAUAAUACUGCUCUCUUCAGUUAAUGGCCCUUUUAGUGUGGAAACCAGGCCUUUCUUUUUCUGCUAUUUCAUUUUUUCUUCUCUUGAGAAACAAAAAAAUAGUUGGUUUCUUUCUAUCUUGAUUUUCUAUAGAAGUCCAAUAUUGCCUCUUUGCCAUAAAACCUACCAAUAUAUACUAUAAUUUUACAGUUUGAAACAUAGACAUUGUAUUUCAAAUCUAGGGGUAAUGUGAAAAAACAAACAUUACUAAGAUUACAUAUUAACUAAUUGCACCUCAGUCCAGCUUUAGACUGCAGAGUUAUCAGAAUCUUCAGCCCUGGUGAUAAUUCUAUGGUUUUUUUGUUUAGUAAAGAACUGAAAGAGUAAAUAAAACCUUAUUAUGUUAAGAAAUAAAUACUUAAGAUCAGUUUUGAAGUCUAAUUCUAAGACAGUUACAACUUACAGAAGAGUUUGAGUUUACAUUUUCUGUACCUAUGCUAUGUUUAAAUGCAAAUACUGUUCAACAUGAGCAAUUCAAAAGUUUUAUUUUCAUCUGGUCAUGAACUAAUUAGAAAAUUUCAUUUUAGGUAAAAAAAAGUUUUUUGAGAAUAAGUCUCCAGUGUGUACAUUAAAAUAACAAUAAAUUGAGUUUAAAUAGUGCCCAGAAUAUUGAUGAAAAUUAUUUAAAUUAAUUUACGAGUAAUAAAGACUGAUUAGAACACACUCAUAAACUCACAUACACACACACACUAUACAUAAAACAGCUGAAUACAUACAAAACUGUGGUUAUUGAUGAGCUGUUGCUUUUGUUGCCUUUCUUGCUGUUUAUUAACUGACAAAGACCAUGCUAACAAUCAUCUUUAUGAAUGGGUGCUAGCUGAUGGGCAGAUCAUUUGUAUGGGCUAGAUAAAAAUGUUAAUAAUGAAGCCAUGUGCUCAGGUUUGAAUUGAAAACAAUUAAAAAAAAUCACUUGCUAUUUUGUUUUCCUUUGAAGAAUAUAAAGUUAUUUCAGUUAGAUCAUCAGUAAAGUUUUAUCUGGGCU
rnacentral:lncRNA from 1 species